GCGAUAAUUCCGUUACGAUGCAUCGAACACCGGCAAAUGCGAUUCGACGAACCGACGCUUGCCUCUGACGUCACGAGGUGACGUUAUUGUGCGGCAUACAACGGCACAGAUAUUCCUUCAAUUAAAUAUUCAUUGUAUAUACCCCCCCCCCCGCCCCCUACCCUCAUCCCAUCGGUUUGGAGACAAGUCAGUCCGACACACUUUGAAUACGCACGCGUAGGCUCGGUGAAUACCGUGACCGGUGGUGCUCGACCCAUUCCCGGUGCGUUACGGUAACAGCGGAUUCCGGUUAACGUCUAUUAGCCUGAAUCGCGUCCCGUUAAAAAUGCGAGAGACGGGGUGAAACGCGGGUAACGGCAACCCUCCCGCGGCGCUGUGCAGGUCCUCCUUUUUGAGGUUUUGCUGUCGUUCUUUUUCACACGCGGUCUCCCAACGAUGAGACUCGAUGUCCGCGGGAGGCUGAAGCGUGAAAUCCAACGCAAAAAAAGGGAGUUAGCGUGUGGUGUUAGCCGAACUAGCCUCCCGCCGCCUUUAGCUUAUGCAGAAUGAAAAAUAAAAAUGUUAAGUUAAAUGCACAACGACUACUUCCAAGAGCGUGACAAGUCGGGAAACUUGGCCCUGGGUAAUGCACGGGUCAAUGUUAUCUUAGCGCAAUUAAAUGAAAUCUGGUGGCAUCCCGGCUGAUUUGGUACCUGGUUUUGGAAGAAGAAGAAGAAAAAGAGACGCCCAGUGCCAGUAUCUCUCCCGAGAUAUAACGUUGGCUAACGAUGUUAGCUUGGUCUAAAGCUAACUAACCAGGGCAGCUACCCACCGGUGGCCAGCCGUCGUUGAUCAUCGUACACAUACAUGGAGGCUUAACCGGUCAGGGCUUUCCUCUGCAGCGUAAACCUCGGAAGCAGCCCCCGCGCCGUGAGGCAUUUCGUCGCGAUAGCAGAGAAAUUACAACAAAAAGAAGAAGAAGAAGAAAAAUACUCACUCCGUUCUCUGAAGAGCACCCCAGGUCCCUUUCUCUCUGUAACUCCCCCUCAGUCUCAGCAGAGACGAGACUCUCUCCCCUGAUCUGAGGUGAAAUCCCGCCCACUGCGCUGUCACAGCCACAGAGGAAGUCUCCGGCCGGAGUGGUCAAGAUAGUUACCCUCCCACUUGAGCCCGCGGGCAGCCAGCUCUGCUGAACCGGAAACCACGUGACACCUGCGUGCCGCUGCGUUGUAACGCAGGUUAGACUUACGGACGUCGAGUACACGUCUAACGACCAGUAUUUGUCGUCUAACGCUAACGUCCUUUUUAGCUCGAGCGUUACUUAUUAUAUGCACACGAGACACAAUGUUAGACACGCAGCGUGCUCAAGACUAGCGCCUUUUCCUCUAACGCAGAAUUUGACAAAGACGGAAGUGUACCGGCCGGAAUCAUCUUGCCUCGCCUGGUUCCUUUCUGUCACAACACCGCCGGGGACAUUUGAUGCACGUCAAAAGGAGGUUGGGUAUGGACCGCUGGUGUGGAUUCCCAUUGGUUUAGACGGCAUAUCAGUCGCCUAUGGAAACGGUCACGUCAUGAAACACCCCCUCCCCCUGUUCCCCUUUACUCAGUGUCGAUUUAUAAUAACAGGAUUAUUCAACAGUUCAACCCCAUCAUGUGAUGCAGCUUGUAAAAAGCAAAAACCGAAACCGUACUGCCACAUCGCUUUUGCUGUGCCUCCACCUAGGCUACACAAGUCUCUUCCUUUGGCGCCUAAUCAAACCUGACGUCAUUCUUUCCAUGACGUGGCGCUUUUCUUCUUCUGUGGAUUCAAUGACUCCAUUCUUUGGUCCUGUUGAAAAGACUAACACACUUGGCAAUCAGCCUUCCCAUUACAAGGAUCAAGCGACAGUGAGAUGCAAUGAACUGCAUUUCAUUAGAAUAACUUGCUGGCUCACGUCUUUGUCAACGGUUGAAAUGUUUUUUGAAUGGAGGAGAAGAAGCAGGAAAAUCAUUUAUUACAUAUUGCUGAGCCAGGGGAGGCACUUAACAAGCAUGUAAUGAGGGGAAUGUUAAUACAGCAAGCCUAUGGCCCGCGGUAACUAAUAAAUAUGCCUUAAGAUCCCAAAUUAACGGCUUACAUCUAAGCCAUCGUAGAAUUUAAGCAGCGAGGCUGGUUGAGUGGCACCAACCAAACCAAUAAAUGGUCCGUCACACAACCCCACAUUCAAGGGCAAAUUGUCCUUUUUACAAUUGUGUGUGCAUGAUUUCUACGUUCAUUUGUGAAUCUGACAGGUGCUAGCACUUUUUAUGUCUUUGCGCUAAACUAAGCAGCUGCUACCUGUUGAUGAAAUGCAUGUGUAUAAAGUAAAAACAGCAUUCCUCAUGCAGAACUUAAUAGAUUUUUCCAGACAGCGUUUUCCUUCUUGUCAGCAGUGUGACGCGCAUUAUGCAUCUAAAUGUGGUCGGAAAAUAGACAGUAUUCUGCUUUGUGUCAUCGGAGACUGUUUGUUCAGUUGAAACCACUUAAUCUCCGCUUCAAUCCAAUUAAACACUUUGGGACCGCAGGAGUGUAAAAGACUGUGAAGCACCGCACAAAGGACCUUUUAGCUGUAUGUGUCCACACAACAAUCUGUGGGCUGUCUGGUCGUCUGAUUUGCUAAUGGUGAAAAUUCAUUAUCUGUUUCAGGGGGGAGGGGGGGCAUGCAUCUGCAACAGAAGCUGUCUCAGGAAAUGGAGCAUUGCGUAAAAAAGAAUUGUACAGACCACUUUCCCAACAGAUGUUGUCAGAAUCUGUUGAUUCAGGUCUUCAGUGGAAAUUUGCCAUAUGCUCUGGAGCGUUUGGUGAACUACUGUAAAUGUCAAGUGACAAUCGCCUGUCUGCAUGCUAAUGUGUUGUUCCU
ensembl:lncRNA